UGUCGUGAUACCUUAAAAUUCAGGCUGAAAACAAUUUAUUAGGUAAUCCACUUCAGGUUUCUUUUGCAGGAGGAUUAUUUUCCAUUUUCUUAUGGAUUAUUUUCCAUUUUCUUGCUAAAAUCAGCAAAACAUAUAUACAUAUAACAAUAUACCACUAGUUCAUUAAAAGAACUUAUUCUUUUUGUUCUCAAAUCAAGCUCAUUUUAGAUUGACAAUAUCUUAAUGCAUUUUAGGAAUAUAUUGUCAAGAUUAAAAUCUUACUUUUUAUUAGCUGAAGUUGUAUAUAUUCAUUAUAUAAAACUGACUUAUGUUGCAUAGAAUUAAAACCCUCCCCAGAGUUCAUAGUUUUAAACAAAUAUGCAUACAUAUCCAAAUACAUAUUAAAUCCAAAGCAAACAAUAACUUUAUGUUGACAGUGAAAAAUGCAACCUUACAUACAUAGUCUACAAAACAACUGAAAAAUUUUAAAUGCCAGAUAUGAGGAAGCCAAAGAAUUUUAACAAUGAGAAAUAUGUUAUGAAUUAAAAUAUUCAAUCUUGAAAACCUUUAAAAGUGAAAGUUGCACUGUAACUGCUUUCUAAGGUAAUUUUUGCCACUUUUAGGAAAAAAGAUGUUUACGUAACAUUUUUAAAAGUACAAUCAUUUCUUACAUAGCUUUAUGAUUGAGGAUAACAUUAGUAUGCACAUACAACAUAACACACAAAAGCAAAGCUUAGAAUAACAUUUUAAUUAUGUUUUAGUGUAUGUGAAAUAAUUUGUUUUUCUCAAUUAUAUUCCUGGGUCAAGGCCUAAAACAUUUAUUUGAACCAGCUAUAUAUCUUAUUUUCAUAAGGGUCUCAGGAGGCAGUAGUCAUAUGUUGUUACUUCAGCCCUCCACAAAGGCAAUACAGUACAGAUCUCUGUACUGUAAACGACAACAAGGACCAGUCACAAUUUCAGUUCUUGUUACAUUGAUAAGACUCCUUCAGAAAGCAAUGAAGAGAAAAGCUGAAGUCAGUGAUUAGGAGUGUCUGUGUAAGUAAAAGCAACAGGCAAUUACUGAGUGUGGUGUGAGAGGCACGGAAAGAUUGGGAAUUCAGCAAGAAGAGGAAUUGAAGUCAAACCUCACCUACUUCCCAGAGUCUUCUGGAUUUUCUGUUAGAAGCUUCAGUAUCUGAGGAAAGGACUCAGGCAACAAAUAAACAGCUAAGAUUUUACUAGAGUAUGAAAGGGAGAGCACUGGAGUGCAGUGCGGGGAUGGAGAUGCAGCUGUGGUGGCUGGAAGUACAGGAGGGCAGCUGGAGGCACCUGGCCUCUGAAGCCUGUCUUCUUCAUCUGGGUGAGAUCUGCUGGAGUCAGGAAGGACUUCCUGCUGCAAGGAUAAAGGUAAGCAGAAGAUCUCCACCAGUGCCCACUGCCAUCACAAACACCUACAAUCCUUAUAGCAGGUGAAUCCAGCAGUCCUCACAAGUCCUGAGACAGGUUUGGAGUCUUGCUGGGAAUUCACACAGCUGCAUUGUCCUAGAUUAGGAGAACAAGGUGUGGACCCCCAACCCUCUAUUCAUCCCCUGUGAGCCAUGGUGCUAUAGCAUGGCACCAUACUGAGACCAGAGCUACUUCUGCAGUGUGCCCUGCUCUGAGGGCCAGUAGCCACUUCACCUCUCCAGCACUUGGGCUCCAUCUUCAUUCCACCAAGCCCAUAUGGGAAGCUGAACACCUCAAUCCCAGAUUCGUAAAGCAUGGGCCAAGGAUGGGCUGUGGCUCUGGUCCUGUUCUGUUCAGGGUGAACCUGCCCUUGAGCUGGCCAAACUGCUGCAUACCCUCCCCAAAGCAGGAGAGGCCCCCAAGCCUGUGAGCAGCUGAUAUGCUCCAGGGCCAGUGAAGUGGCUAUGUGCUUGCACCCAGGAACUGAGAAACAGUCCCACAGCACACCUGCACCCUCCAGAGAGAGCCCUGGCCUGCCCCAGUGGCCCUGUAUCCCCAUUCAGGGCCUGAGAAACAAUUCCUCAGGCCACUCUUGGCAGGUAUGAUACUAAGCUGACCAAAUAGCCAAAAACACCUAUCCCAGACCUGAGUAUCAGCCCUGUGGGCCAAUCCAGGUGGACAUGCCCCAGGCUGGCCAAGCAGCCAUGUACCCACAUUCCGGGCCUGAGAAACAGUUUUUUGGGCUGCUGUUGGUGAGGACACCCCUGAGCCAACCAAGCAUCCUUGCAAUUGUGUUUCAGACCUAAGAAGCAUCAUGACCUGAGAAACAGUUUCACAGGCCACUCUUGGCAGGUAUGAUCCCAGGCUGGCCAUACAGCCAAAAGCCCACAUCCUACAUCUGAGUAACAGCCCAGGCUGACAUGACCCCAGGGCAGACAUGACCCCAGGCUGGCUGCCUAUUGAGUAAUUUCUUACGUUUUGCCUCCUCACAAAUGAAAUGCUAUCAUUUGUGAAAAUAUAAAUAGAAUUGGAGGAUAUUAUGUUAAGUGAAAUAAACCAUGAACAGAAAGUUAAACACUACAUGUUCUCAUUCAUAUUUGGAAGGUAAGAAAACGUUGAACUCAUAGAAGUAAAAUAGAACAGAGGAUACCUGAUGCUGGGAAAACUUGGGGGAAGGGAAGGAUAGGAAGGGAUUUGUUAAAGAAUAUAAAAGUUAAACUGGAUGAAAGGAAGUUCUUGUGUUCUCUACCACUGUAGGAUGACUAUAGUUAACAAUAAUAUAUCAUGUAGUUUAAAUAGCUAGAAGGAGGAUAUUGAAUGUUCCUAAUACAAAGAAAUGAUAAAAAUUUGAGAUGAUGGAUAUGCUAAUUAUGCUGAUCUGAUCACUGUCUAUUUAUCAACACCUCAUUAUAUAUCCUAAGAAUAUGUACAAUAACUAUUUGUCAAUCUAAAAAAUUAGAUAAAAAUUGUUUUGUCUUUUCUGGGUACUUUACAUGUUCAUAUAUAUUUUUGAGUCAGCUUGUCAAUUUCUACAACAAAAGCUUGUUGGGAUUUUGAUUGAGAUUAUGCUGAAUUUAUAACUUGUGAAGAAUUGAUUUCUUUACAAUAUUGGACCUUCCAAUACAUGAACAUAGUAUAUGUCUCCAUUUGUUUAGGUGUUCUUUAAUUUUUUUAAACAAUGUUUUGAAAUUUCCAGGAUUUUUCACUGAUUUAGUUAAAUUGAUCCUUAAAUAUUUAGCUUUUGAUGCUGUUAUUUUUAUUGAAAAUUUCUAAUUGUUACAUUCUAAUACAUGAAAACAGUAUAUAUCGUGAA
rnacentral:lncRNA from 10 species